rnacentral:lncRNA from 1 species
GAAGUUCUAGACCUUGGGAAUAAUAAGAUAAAUGAUACAUUUCCCCAUUGGUUGGGAACUCUUCCAGAGUUGCAAGUUCUUGUUUUGCGCUCUAAUAGUUUCCAUGGUCAUAUAGGGUGUUCCAAAAUCAAAUCCCCAUUCAUGAGCCUAAGAAUCAUUGAUCUUGCUUACAAUGAUUUCGAGGGUGACUUGCCUGAAAUGUAUCUGAGAAGUUUGAAAGCGACAAUGAAUGUAGACGAAGGCAACAUGACAAGAAAAUAUAUGGGGGACAGUUAUUAUCAAGAUUCCGUAAUGGUGACAAUCAAGGGGUUGGAGAUUGAAUUUGUGAAAAUCUUGAAUACGUUCACAACAAUUGAUUUAUCAAGCAAUAAAUUCCAAGGAGAGAUUCCAAAGUCCAUUGGAAAUCUUAAUUCGCUUCGAGGGCUCAAUUUGUCUCAUAACAGCCUUGCAGGACAUAUCCCAUCAUCUUUCAAAAAUUUGAAGUUGCUUGAAUCAUUGGACCUCUCUUCAAACAAGCUCAUUGGGAGCAUUCCUCAAGAAUUAACAAGUUUGACAUUUCUUGAAGUUUUGAAUCUUUCUGAAAACCAUCUUACAGGAUUUAUACCUCGAGGAAAUCAGUUUGACACUUUUGGAAAUGAUUCAUACAGUGAGAACUCAGGGUUGUGUGGAUUUCCAUUGUCAAAGAAAUGCAUAACUGAUGAAGCAUCGGAAUCUUCAAAGGAAGCGGAUGAAGAGUUUGAUGGUGGAUUUGAUUGGAAAAUCACAUUGAUGGGAUAUGGAUGUGGAUUGGUUAUUGGGUUGUCUCUUGGGUGUCUCAUUUUCUUAACUGGGAAACCUAAACGGUUUGUCUGGUUUAUUGAAGAGAACAUUCACAAAAAGAUCAGAAGAUCUACAAGGAGCACUUGUAGGCAAGGAGCAAGAAGAAAUUAAUUCGUUCCACUCCCAUUUUAUUAUGUGUUGCAUAUAACAAAUGGCUUUUACAUUCUUAUGUUAGCAAAUAAUUUAUAUUGUCAUUAUACAAGUGCAAUCUUGUUUAUAAAGUUAAAAUAAUGUCUUUUUCCUUAUUAUUAUUAUUAUUAUUGUUUUGUGAUAAUGCAAUAGUCAUUCGUAUAGUAUUUUUCCAAUCAAUAUGGUAACUUAAAACUCAAAAAGCAAUUGUCAUAUCUUGGAAACCAUACACUAACAAAUAAGUAUUAAAGAGUUAGGAGACAUUUGGAUACAUUUCCAUUUUUUAUCAAAUAGGCGGUAACAUCAUAUGUUCUACUUUAGUUGCCCUUGAUCACUUUUUGGGAUGACAGUCAGUCUUCUCACCAUGGGUCUUCUCACCAAUAGGGAUCUAGAUGAGUGAGACCUCAAGUUCAAACCAAUAAAUGAUUCAAUUCCUCCAAUUGACAUGGUUCCAACUGAUCGAUUUGUUGUUCCUACCUUCCAAUCCCCAAUCAAUGUAAGGCAAAGUUAAGGAGUGCCUUUUUUCUCAAGCCAACACUCAAAUGUGAUAAUCCAUAGGAAAGAAAGGCUGAUUUUUCUAGUAUGCCUAAUCGUUAACCCUUCUCUCUCUUUCUUUAAUUAAAUCCUUUGGUUCCUUCUUUUAAAAAGAGUUGUCCUCCAUCCUCUUGUAAACAACCAUUUAGUCUUUUCAUUACAUCCCAAUUUAUUUAAAAACCUUAAUUAGGAAAAGAACAAGAAUCUUGUUUAUAUUUCAAUAUGUAUAGAAGAGAUUAUUUUCAACUAGUAUUUGUUUUUAUUAAAAACAUGCAUGGGAGCCAAUUUGUUCAUGGCCCAAGUUUAGGCCACAACAAGAUAGAAUCAGUGCUGCAACCUAAGGGCCGAAGCUAGCUUUAACUUAAGAUCCAUGAGUCAGAGCCCAAGCCCAAUUGGCAUUUUCUUUGGAAAUGUACAACAUUAGCCCCAUUAUUAUUAGUGAUGUAUGCCAAAUAUUUAAAUAAAUUUAAUACUUGUUAUAGAUAUUUAGGGAAAGAAACGUAACUAAAUUAUAUGAUUUAACAUUUUUCAAUCAAGUUGAUUUUAAUAAAUAAGGAUGUACAUCCACUCCAUGCACAAAAUCAAUAAAUAAAAAGGAGAAGAGGUCAACUAUAAAAGGUAAUAAUAAUAAUAAUAAUAAAUUGGUGCAUGAUAUUUGAAAAACCAGUUAAUGAAAAUGUUUAUCAUUAUAUUAUGCAAAGAAAAUUGCACCCAUUUUAAUUGGUAAAUAACUCUAUUUUUCUAAGCUAGCAAAAUUUUCUAUGGUAUAGUGGUGAAAUAAAAAAUGUUAAAAUGCUUAUUAUUCUCCUUAGAAGGUGUAGCAUAGGAUGGCAAUUUCAACCAAUAACUUUCUUGAAUUUUUUUUUUAAAUAUUAUUUUUUAUAUAACAUUACAAAGUAAUAUUAGUAUUUCUUGAAAAGGAAAAUUAAUAAUUAAAAAAAUUAAAAUUAAAUAUCAAAACUUAUAACCAUUUUGUUUUAUCAUGAAGUCUCAUUCUUCUUUUAAUAUAUAUGUAAAUAUUUAAAAUAUUUGUGAAUUACUAUAAUUGAAAAAUUAUUGUAUCUUAUAUUUCUUAUAUGAACAUCAUAGAAAAUUGUCCUUCUAAUCAAUUAGAUAAUCAAGUUAAUAUAAUUAUAGUAUUUUUAUCCUUGACUCAAUAGACAUCUCAACCAACGUCUCCAAUCUUAAAAACUUUUAAAUUGUGUUAGAAGAUAGGUUAUUAAGCUUUUUUCUUCUAAAAUAUAUUUUUUCUUCUAAAAAUAAAAUAAAAUUGUAUAUCAUUAUAUAGAAAUAUUUAUAUUUAACAAUUUAAAAUUUGAAAUUGAGUAGUCAAAACUCAUAAUUAUAAUAUUAGCAUUUUUUUUUCUAUAUUGAAGUUUGAUCCUUUUUCAAAAAAAAAAAUCUAUUUUUUUGAGUCAAUUAGUCAAUCAAAUUAAUAUAAUUAUUGUAUUUUUAUGGUGAGUCAAAGACAUCUCAAUCAAUAUUAAAAUCUUAAAGGAAAUGCUAUAAACCAUAUUAAUUAACAUCUAUAUUUUCUAAAAAAAAUUAUUAAUAAACAAUGAUAUUCUCAAUUUUUAAAUUUUAAACUAAGCUUAGAAAUUCAAGCACUCUUGGAUGGUAUAAAAUGAAUAUAAUAGGAACUUCAAAAUUAAAAAGCAUAUAUUAGUGUAGACACCCAUUUAGGAGGGUUCUCAAGGAGCCACGUGUCAAUCCAUGGUUGGCUGGUGGAGAAUCAGAUGAUGCUUUUUGAGGAGCUAAUAGAAGGUUGACACUUGUAAAGGGAGAUUCUAGAGGAGGUUUUGCCGUUAGGAGGAGCGUAUUCUAGCCAGCGGGGUAGUGGUGCUUUCAGGGGGUUUUGGAGAGAUAUUUUGAAAAAAAUAAAAGAGUUAGAGCUUGAGGAGCAAGCAAGCUGAGGGGUAGAGGACGGUUUUUCUCUGAGGUUGAGAGAGAGAGAGAUGGAUUUUUAUUUUUAUUUUUGGGAGGAGAUUCAUCUUUCUGGGGGGAGCAUUUUGCAGGUAAAGGUGAGGGACUACAGGAGAUAUUUUGAGAGAGAUUGUUUUUUUAGCUUGAGGGAGAAACUACAGAGGGGAGGUCUUCAAGCUGAGAGUGAGCGAGAGAGAGAGAGUUGUGUGUUUGGAGAGUAGAGGAUGAUAUGCUAUUUCAUUAGUUUCCUUGGUUUUGGAGGAGGAUUUGGGGCGUUUGAAGCUGAUCAGAACCUUACCGAAGAAGGGCACUCUUAGGUAUGAAUGCUACAAGCUUAUUGUUUGAUUUGGCAACUUAUCAUUCCUCUAUAUAUUCUGUCGGUUUUUGAAUGUUUAUUGAUUUGUUUGGGGUGGAUAAUGAAGUGGGCUUUGGUGGGGGGCCACAUAAGAGAAGUUUUAAAACAAAAAUAAGUUUGAGUGAAGUGCAGUGUGAUAUCUAAUGACUUCUUACUCUGUUUAGUGGCAUGUGUGAUAUACAUUGUGUUCAUUAUUGUGCACUAACCCCAUUUUUUGACAGCGUGUUAGUGCUUGCUGCUAAGGUACGCAUACACACUCACUUCGAUCAUUCUCUUUGUAUUGUUAUGAAUCUCGUGCGUGUAACACCAUUUUUGUAUCUCUUGAUCUAUUGGUUAAUUCUCAUACCUGCUUCAUUUUAUUAGUAAAGACCCGUUUUUAGGAACUUAGAGGGAUAUUAUGGUAUUUACCGUACCUUCCCAAUAAGUAACUUGAUUCUCGAGUCCAUAUUUGGUUUUUUUUUAUAGACUACCUUUUCCAAAUAAGGAGUCACACUUAGAGUUUUCUUUCUUAUUUUGUUUACCCUUUAAAAAUAAAACAAAAAUAAGCGGUGAGUCCAAGUUUUUUCUAAAAAUCAUUUUUUUACAAAUAAAUAAAAAAAACGAGUUUCGCUAUUGAGUGUGAAUACAUCGAGCUGAAAUGCAGGGUCCACAAUUACAUACCUACUAUGUUUCAUACAUGAUCUAAAAAAAUAUGAUAUGAUUAUAAUUAUUUGACUUUUGAUACAGAAAAAUUCAAAGUAUAUAUAUAUAUAUUUAGUUUUUUAUAUUAAAAUUAAAUAAAUAAUUGAAAAAAUAAAUGAAAAAUGUGGUUCUAUAAAUGAGCUUUCCUCUCUAAAUUUAAAUAUUUAAGAACGGACUAAAUAAUAAUUUGAUAAAUAGUUGUCUUCCUUCCAAAAUUAGAUUUUGCUUUCACUUUGUAGUGUUUCUAAAAUUGAAUUCUCAAGUGCUCAAUAAUUCUUCCCAUAACUUGUUGAAAAAUAUGUUGGAAGUGCAUCAUGAGCUAAUAAUGACUUUUUUUUUAAUUAUUUUUUUUUAAAAGAAACCAUUAUACACUAGUAUAUACAAAAACCAUGACUGAAAAAUGGAUAAGGUAUAGAAUUUAGUAGAUGAAAGGAAAAAUGAAUGAGAUAAUAAUGAUAAAUCAAAACAUAUAGGUUAUGUUUAGUUCCGAGAAAUUUAAGGAAAAACAUGAGAAAAAUAAAAUAAAAAGAAAAUGUGGAAGGAAAGAAAAAGUUACAACACUUACACAUGUAAAAUACAAGCAAAUCAUACUGGAAAUAAUAAUAAUAAUAAUAAUAAUAAUAAUAAAGUCUAAAAAGAAUAAGGUAGGAUACAAGAUAAUAACUUUCAAAUUUACAUAUAUAUAUAUAUAUAUAUAUAUAUAUAUAUUUAGUUUUAAGAAAACAAAAUCUUUUAGCUUUUCAUUCUACUUGUAUCAUCACUUUUUGUUUUUGUUAGUAAAGAAUCCAGUGAAUUUUUUUUGUCAUAGGGGACGGACCAUCAAAAUUGCUUUAAUGUAGAAAAAAAAAAUUAGAAAUAUUGUUUUCUAACAAAUGAUGCCGAUGGUUGACAUCUUACAUAUUCAAUUCUUAGAGAAGAUGUAUAUAGUAAAUACUUUCUCCUCGUUGCUAUUGGUUGACACUUUCUCAUAGUCCUUUUAGUUGUAUAAUUCAUAAAAACAUUAUUAUUCUUCUUUAACCUUAAAUAAUAUGUUACCUUUUGAAUUUUCAAUAUCCUACCUAGUCUUGCCCAUUGGAAACUCUUAACUUGCAAAUUUAGCUAUGGUUCAAGUCAUAGAAGCCUAGCUUUGUAUCAUUUUCUUUCUCAUCUGUUUUUUUUUCAUAAAAAUGUGCUCUUAGUAUUAGAGACUCUAAAUUUAAAUCGUCAAUGAUUAUUUAAAUAACAAUUUGAUAAAUAGUUGUCGUCCUUCUAAAUUUAUAUUUUUUUAAAAAUUGAAUUCUUGAGUAGUUGAUAUAUGAAAUCAAAUCAAUGGACAUUAAUUAUAUUUAGCCAAGACAUCACAGAAAGGUAAAUGAAAUUAACCCCCGUAUAAUUAGGUUAAAAUAAUAAUAAUUUCAUUGAAAAAAAAAAAGGACAAUACAUACCAAUACAUGGAAAAAAAACUUGUAAAAUCAAUAAGAUAUAGAAUUUGGUGGAUGAAAAGCAAAGUGCAUAAGAUAAAAAUGAUAAAUCAACAUAUAUGAAUUAGUUAGAGGAGAUGACUUCUAUGACUCAAGAGAGUCAUGCCUGAAUUUGCAAGUUAGGAGUUUCCAAUACGGCAGGAUCAUUUUCUUGUCUUCUCUAAUUCCACAAAACUAUGCCCUCAUGACUGGAGCCUUGUUGUGCUCCACCUUAAGAAGUCAUUAUCUAAUAUUGACAGGCUUUUGGAUCUCAUUAUUUCACCAAGUGUUGAUCACUACUUUUCUGGUCUGGGACCAUUUCUUCCUUACAUUCAAAGAUGCUUUUCCAAUAAGAAAGAAAAGAAAAUGAAGAACUCGAAGUUUUUGAAAAAAUUUAAAGAAAAAUAGAAAGAAAAGAAAAAAUAAAUAUAAAGUUAAUAAGUUAUUUUUUAUUUGGGUUUUUAAACUCAUUCUACUUAUUUUUUAUUUUCUAUAUAAAGAUAAAAUAAAAUAAAAUAUUUAAAUUUUAAUUAAUUAUAAUUAUAUAUGAUUUUUUUUUCAAAGUGAAAUCAAACAAUAAAAAAUCAUUUUCUUCACAAUUUUUUUCCUUCUUUAGUACUUUCUUGAUAAGAUUUGUAUCCAUAAAUGCUAAUUAAGAAAACAUAAAAAUUGUAAUGUAUAUAUCUUUCUUUUAUGUUGGUACAAACACAUUGAUGAAUAUGUUUUAGAGUGAUUCAAAUUAUGAUGCACCGUUUUUAUACAAGUUUUAGAUGAAAAUCCAAUAUGAUUAGUAUCAUUUAGUGUUUGAUAUGAUAGAAAAAAAAAUAUUUAUUUGAUAUUAAAAUUAAAUAAUUAAUUGAAAAAUUAAGUGCUAAUCGACAACACUAUCUAUAUAGUUUUCCCCUCCCAAUUUAAAUCUUCAAUAAUUAUUUAAAUAACAAUUUGAUAAAUAGUUGUCUUCCUUUUAGAGUUAUAUUUCACUUUCAAUUCUAGUAUUAUUAAAAUUGAAUUCUUCAAUAGUUAAUGUAUAAAAUCUUUCUUCUCAUAAUUUUUUUUGACAAUUUAUUGCAAGUUAGAAGAUAAAAUGAAGGUAGUUCUGGAGUUUAAUUUAUAACAAAAGGGGUUAAAUGCCUCUUGAGAAUUGAAUAAAAUUAGACUAUUAGGUUCUAUUAAGUCAACUAUUACAUAUUAAAAAAACUAAAUCAUUACUAUUAUAAUUUAGGCUUUUUCUCACUUUCAAUGGUGAAUUAAAAUAUUAUGCAUUGAGAUUCAAAUACAUCACCUCUCACCAAACGGGGUUUAAUACCAUAUUUAAUUACCAAAAUUCUUAAAAUCUUAAGCUUGUAAAUUAACAAAAUACAUUAAUUAGGGUACUCAGGAAUAAUUAAAAUAUUUAAUCUAAUUUUUCAUGGACUUUUAUGGUCUUAAGAGAAGGUUCUAGUAGGUUUACUCUUAAUGUAAUUGAUAGUGAAUCGUUAUCUUUACCGUAUAAAUAUAAUUUUUUUAUUUAAUUAAUUAUUUAGAAGACUUAAAAGAUAGUUUUGGAGGAUGAUUUAUGAUGUUUAUUAUUAUAAUAUAUAUUUUAGGAAGAAAAUAUUUUUGGCGUGUUGUAAACUCUUUGAUUAGUCAUAUAUAUUCUUUUCAUAGUGUUGUCACUUUCUUGACUCAUAGAAGUCAAAGUCAAGUGACAUGUCUCAUCGAAUCAUUUAUUUUGAACUACACUUCAUCUAAUCAAUUUGAAAAAUUAGCACCUCCUUAAUAUAUUUAUUAUAUAAUUGGGGGAGUUUGAGAAGUAGGUUAUGAUGGUCAUAAAGACUAUAACAUAAAUUAAGAUUAUGUUUAUUUAUAGGAUUAAAAAGUGAGAUAUAAUUUUAAAAUUAUAUAUUUGCAUAUUUGGAUAUAAAAAGGACAAGAUAAUGAUCUAAAUAAGUUACUGAUCUAACAUUUUUUAUUUUUAAUCUUUUAUGGAUGAGAUUUAAAAAUUGUCUUCCUUAAUAGACAUCAAUGAAUUUUUCAUAAAAAGAAAAGGUACUUGAACUAAGAUUUUUUUCCUUGAAUAAAGGAAUAAAGGAAAAACGUACAUACUAUUUUUUUUUUUUAAAAUUAAUACUUAAGGAAGAAUGCUUUUCAAUGAAACUUAAAAGUUUUUUAUUAAAGAAAAAAUUGCUUUUUUUUAAACCAAAAGGAAACAUAUCUUUUUGGUUACUCGGAUAAAUAUAGUGGUUAAAAAACCAAAUGUUUCAGUCUAGGUUUUUAUUCUACAAUGGAGUACUUCACUACAAUGAACUUCCCCUUUCAAUUUAAAGAUUUUUUUUGUUUAGAAAAAAAAAAAUUGCUUUUAUCUAAACCAAAAGGCAAACGUUUAAUGUGCUGGAAAUUGUUACAAGAAAAGUCUUCUUUGGGUUUCUCUAAGUUGGAAAUUUCCAAGAAGUUUUCAGGGUGAAUCAUUUGCAUAUAAAUUGGAGUGUACCCAUCUCCAUUUCUCUCAUCUCACCACUCUAUCUCAAUUGCUUUGGGAAGAAUGAUGUCUAAACUCCUCCUCUAUUUUCUUUUCUUCCUCUCGUCCUCUCAACUUCUUUCCACCUCUUUCUCUUUCUCUAAUUCCACCAAACUCUGCCCUGGUCACCAAUCUCGUGCUCUGCUCCACCUUAGGAAAUCGUUUUCCGUUAUUGAUAAUUCCAGUUUUUGGGGAUGCGAUUACUAUGGUGUCACUUCUUAUCCGAAAACAGAGUCUUGGAAGAAGGGUAGUGAUUGUUGCUCAUGGGAUGGGGUCACAUGUGAUAGGGUGACAGGCCAUGUAAUUGGGCUAGACCUCAGUUGCAGUUGGCUCUAUGGCACCAUCCAUUCCAAUAGUACCCUCUUUCUUUUUCCCCACCUGCGAAGGCUUAACCUUGCUUUCAAUGACUUUAAUGGGUCUUCUGUUUCCACUAGGUUUGGCCGCUUCUCAAGCUUGACCCAUCUCAACCUCUCUGAAUCUCUAUUUUCAGGCCUAAUUUCACCAGAAAUUUCUCACCUCGCCAACUUGGUUUCACUCGAUCUGUCUGGGAAUGGAGCAGAAUUUGCCCCGCAUGGCUUCAAUUCUCUACUUCUAAAUUUAACCAAGUUGCAGAAGCUUCACCUUGGAGGUAUAUCCAUCUCUUCAGUUUUUCCUAAUUCCUUGCUAAAUCAGUCUUCUUUGAUAUCAUUAGAUCUCUCUGACUGUGGAUUGCAUGGGAGUUUCCAUGAUCAUGACAUUCAUCUUCCAAAACUUGAGGUUCUCAACUUAUGGGGAAAUAAUGCUCUCAAUGGAAAUUUCCCACGAUUCAGUGAGAACAAUUCCCUUUUAGAGUUGGUUCUAGCUUCCACAAAUUUCAGUGGAGAGCUUCCUGCUUCAAUUGGGAAUUUAAAGUCUUUAAAGACUUUGGAUCUCUCUAUUUGCCAAUUCUUAGGGUCCAUCCCCACUUCCCUAGAGAACCUUAAACAAAUCACAUCCUUGAACCUUAUUGGGAAUCAUUUUAGUGGUAAAAUUCCAAAUAUUUUUAAUAACCUUAGAAAUUUAAUUUCACUAGGACUUUCUAACAACAAUUUUAGUGGUCAUUUUCCACCAUCUAUUGGAAAUCUAACAAACCUUUAUGAGUUAGACUUCUCCAAUAAUCAGCUAGAAGGAGUCAUUCAUUCUCAUGUGAAUGAGUUUUCAUUUUCAAGUCUAUCCUAUGUCAACUUAGGAUAUAACUUGUUCAACGGGACAAUACCAUCUUGGUUGUAUACUCUGUCAUCGUUGGUGGUGUUAGAUCUUAGUCAUAACAAACUCACUGGUCAUAUUGAUGAAUUCCAAUUUGAUUCAUUGGAGAAUAUUUAUUUGAAUAUGAAUGAGUUACAUGGGCCAAUUCCAAGUUCAAUAUUUAAGCUUGUAAACCUUAGAUAUCUUUAUCUUUCUUCAAAUAACUUGAGUGAGGUUUUGGAGACAAACAAGUUUGGAAACCUUAGAAAUCUUAUUGAGCUUGAUCUCUCAAACAACAUGCUUUUAUUGACAACCUCUGGCAAUUCCAACUCCAUUUUACCUAACAUUGAGUCGCUAGACCUUUCAAACAAUAAGAUUAGUGGAGUAUGGUCAUGGAACAUGGGAAAUGAUACACUAUGGUACUUGAAUCUCUCUUAUAACUCAAUAAGUGGGUUUAAGAUGCUUCCAUGGAAAAAUAUAGGUAUUCUAGAUCUUCAUUCCAACUUGCUGCAAGGACCACUUCCAACUCCUCCAAAUUCUACAUUUUUCUUUUCAGUCUCCCAUAACAAAUUGAGUGGAGAAAUCUCAUCGUUGAUUUGCAGAGCGAGUUCCAUGGAAAUUCUUGAUUUGUCUGACAACAAUUUGAGUGGCAGGCUUCCUCAUUGUUUGGGAAAUUUUAGUAAAUAUCUCUCAGUUUUGAAUUUACGAAGGAAUCGAUUUCAUGGCAACAUUCCUCAAACAUUUUUAAAGGGCAAUGCUAUCAGGGAUCUUGAUUUCAACGAUAAUCAAUUGGAUGGCCUAGUACCUCGAUCUUUGAUCAUUUGUAGAAAACUUGAAGUUCUAGACCUUGGGAAUAAUAAGAUAAAUGAUACAUUUCCCCAUUGGUUGGGAACUCUUUCAAAGUUGCAAGUUCUUGUUUUGCGCUCUAAUAGUUUCCAUGGUCAUAUAAGGCAUUCCAAGAUCAAAUCCCCAUUCAUGAGCCUAAGAAUCAUUGAUCUUGCUCACAAUGAUUUUGAGGGUGACUUGCCUGAAUUGUAUUUGAGAAGUUUGAAAGCAAUAAUGAAUGUAAAUGAAGGCAACAUGACAAGAAAAUAUAUGGGGAAC